rnacentral:lncRNA from 1 species
GUGAGAGAAGAAGCCUUCAAGGACAACUCCUGCCCCAGCCGCCAUCAGACUGCAACCACAUGGGAGACCCUGAAUGAGAACCCACAGAUGAGCCCAGUCGCUCCCCAGAACCACGAGAGAUGGUGACAGUACACAAGUGCUGGUCUACAGCAUUAAGUUGAGGUCUGGAGUGGUCCCCAAGAUCCAGCAUUUCCAACACGCUCCCAGGUGACAUCGAUGCUGCAGCUGGUCUUCCGACCACACCUGGAGUAGCAAGAUUCUACAGCAGCACCACCAAGAGAAAUACAAGCCACCUAUGUAACUUUACAUUUUCUUGUAACUACACUAAAAAUAAUUUUAGUAACAUAUUUUACUUAAUCCAAUAUGUCCAAAACAUGAUCAUGUCAACAGGUA